rnacentral:rRNA from 1 species
CACGAAGUUAGCCGGGGCUUCUUCUGCGGGUACCGUCAUUAUCUUCCCCGCCGAAAGGGCUUUACAACCCUAGGGCCUUCAUCACCCACGCGGCAUGGCUGGAUCAGGCUUGCGCCCAUUGUCCAAUAUUCCCCACUGCUGCCUCCCGUAGGAGUCUGGGCCGUGUCUCAGUCCCAGUGAGGCUGAUCAUCCUCUCAGACCAGCUACUGAUCGUCGCCUUGGUGGGCCGUUACCCCACCAACUAGCUAAUCAGACGCGGGCCGAUCCUUCGGCGAUGAAUCUUUCCCCGUAAGGGCUUAUUCGGUAUUAGCCCAAGUUUCCCUGGGUUGUUCCGACCAAAGGGUACGUUCCCACGUGUUACUCUCCCGCCUGCCGCUCCCCUUGCGGGGCGCUCGACUUGCAUGUGUUAGGCCUGCCGCCAGCGUUCGCUCUGAGCCAGGAUCAAACUCU